GAGUUAACAAGUCAGACCACCACUCCUCCGUCAACUUCGCCCACAUCUCUGCCAGUACCACCCCAGCAAGAUUUUUACAGACUUGUUCUGCAGCACCUCCGCACAAUUGAGGAGGAGCUGAAGGAGGUGAAGCAGCAGGUGGCGGUCAACACAGCCAUGAUACAGAGACUAGGUGGUGGUGGUGUGGCAGAUCUCGGCCUUGUGGAAGACACCAACAUGCCAUUGAGCAAUGCCGAGGACCUGGACGAGCUGGAGAGGCGGCUUAUAUCUGAUGUGGACCUAAAAAAUCAACUGGUGAACAUACUUGCUAUUUUGGGAGGGAAAACCACCAAAGACGCAGUGAAGAGGAUGCUGGGCCGGGCUUUCAGGAGGUCCCUGGCGCUCCAAAUUAAUUG